CCAUUUAAGUUUUUUUCUAUUUGUAGGCCAGAUGAAAAUGAGAAGAACUCGCACUAUCCAUUCAUUGUCUGAAAUGACCAGGUUUCUUCAAUGUCAAAGGAGUUCUUUCAAAUUUAAAUCUAAGCUUUUUCUUCAAAUAAAAUCAACUCAACAAAUCAACACAUUCAUGAGAAUGGAGGGUGAGGGGAGACUGAUCUACAACUGGAAAAAAGGGAAGGGAUUGUGAAAAUGGACAACCACUUAUUAUGGGGACUGAUAUUGGAAAAGAAAUUACUACUGGUUAUGGGAACAGGAAUUUGAAAAUAGAUUACUACUGUCUAUGGAAAGAGAUGGAGAGAAUGGGCUACUACUGGCUAUGGGAAGAGGAGAGUGAGAAUGGGCUAUUACUGACUAUAAUGGGGGAACAGGUUGAAUGGGCUACUAUUGGCUAUGAGCAUGAUUGUGGGAGAAUUGGCUACUGAUUAUAGAGCAUGUGGAUACAAUAAAAAC